rnacentral:rRNA from 1 species
UACGAUACGAGUUUGAUCCUGGCUCAGAACGAACGCUGGCGGCAUGCCUAACACAUGCAAGUCGAACGAAGGCUUCGGCCUUAGUGGCGCACGGGUGCGUAACGCGUGGGAACCUGCCCCUCGGUUCGGAAUAACAGUUAGAAAUGACUGCUAAUACCGGAUGAUGACUUCGGUCCAAAGAUUUAUCGCCGAGGGAUGGGCCCGCGUAGGAUUAGCUAGUUGGUGGGGUAAAGGCCUACCAAGGCGACGAUCCUUAGCUGGUCUGAGAGGAUGAUCAGCCACACUGGGACUGAGACACGGCCCAGACUCCUACGGGAGGCAGCAGUGGGGAAUAUUGGACAAUGGGCGAAAGCCUGAUCCAGCAAUGCCGCGUGAGUGAUGAAGGCCUUAGGGUUGUAAAGCUCUUUUACCAGGGAUGAUAAUGACAGUACCUGGAGAAUAAGCUCCGGCUAACUCCGUG